ensembl:snoRNA U8 U8 small nucleolar RNA
UCGUCAAGUGGGAUAAUUCUUACCUGUUUCUCCUUUUGGAGGGCAGAUAGAAUAGGCUGAUAGGAGAUGCAUGAAACGUGGUUAAUGUCUCUGUGUAAUCAGGACUUGCAACACCUGUUACUCCUUUCUGAU